rnacentral:rRNA from 1 species
AAGGGAAGUACCUGGCGGCGUGCUUUACACAUGCUAGUCGAGCGAUGCGGCCGCAAUGGUCAGUCGAGCGGCGGACGGGUGAGUACCUGGAUACCUGCCCUGAGGUGUGGAACAACCAGUGGAAACUCUGGCUAAUACCGCAUGAUACCUGAGAGGUCAAAGGGGGCUCGCAAGGGCUCUCGCCACAGGAGGGGUCCGCGUCCGAUUAGCUAGUUGGUAGGGUAAUGGCCUACCAAGGCGACGAUCGGUAGCCGGCCUGAGAGGGUGAUCGGCCACACUGGAACUGAGACACGGUCCAGACUCCUACGGGAGGCAGCAGUGGGGAAUUUUGCGCAAUGGGCUAACGCCUGACGCAGCAACGCCGCGUGGAGGAUGAAGGUCUUUGGAUUGUAAACUCCUGUCAGCAGGGAAAAAGCGACCUGACCUCAUACGUCAGGGAGUUGAUUGUACCUGCAGAGGAAGCCCCGGCUAACUCUGUGCCAGCAGCCGCGGUAAUACAGAGGGGGCAAGCGUUAUUCGGAAUU